GCCAUUGGUCUGUGGGUGGUAACCCGAGGAGAGGCUAGCUGCUGCGCCCACUGCCUGGCAGAAAGCUUUCCAGACCUGAGAGGAAAAAUGAGGACCACGAUCUGACACGAUGUCACGGGGAAUCCCAUGUAAUUGAAAUACAUGAGUGACUAGGAGGUUAGCAGUUUGAAAGGCAGAUGGGAGCUUGGGUAAAGGGACAUAGUGAACAAAUUUGGAGAAUCUGUCAAUGAUGGUGAGUAUGACUGUGUUACCUUCAGAGGGAGGGAGACCAGUGACGAAAUCUAAGGCUAUGUGGGACCAGGGGCGUGAAGGCACAGGCAGAGGACGCAGCAAGCCAGCCGGAGGUUGGUGGGAGGCUUUGCUUCGGGCACAGACAGAGCAGGCAGCAACAAACGCCCGUACGUCCCGGACCAUCCCCGGCCACCAGAACCGCUGCUGGAGGAAUUGGAGGGUACGUUGAAACCCGGGGUGGCAGGUGAGCUUGGAGGAGUGCCCCCACUGUAGGACCUGAGAACGUGCGACCUCAGGGACGAACUUUCUGUCCGGCGGGCCAGUUCCGGGGUCUGGGUGGUUCCGGAGGGCCUGGUCCACGAUGGUAUCGAUCUCCCAGGUGGCGGAGCCGACGACACAGGAGGCGGGGAGGAUGGUGUCUGGUUCACUGGGGUCCGGAGUAUCCAAGGCGUGGAUCCGAGAGAGGGCGUCUGGUUUGAGGUUGCGGGAGCCGGGACGAUAGGAGAGGGUGAAAUUGAAUCUGCUGAGAAAAAGGGACCAGCGGGCUUGCCUGGGGUUGAGGCGACGAGCGGAGCGGAGGUAUUGCAGGUUCUUGUGGUCUGUCCAGAUUAGAAACGGUUGGGAAGCUCCUUCCAGCCAGUGUCUCCAUUCCUGCAGUGCCCACACGACAGCCAGUAAUUCACGGUUUCCCACGUCGUAAUUUUGUUCCGUGGCUGAGAGUUUCCGGGAGAAAAAGGCGCAAGGAUGAAGCUUCUGGGUCUGAGAGUCCCUCUGUGAGAGGAUGGCCCCUACUCCAGAGUCCGAAGCGUCGACCUCCACCAUGAACUGAAGCGAGGGAUCUGGGUGUUUGAGCACCGGGGCGGAGAUGAAGAGGGAUUUGAGGUGAUGGAAGGUGGCGUCUGCUUCGGGGGUCCAGGAGAAUGGAACCUUUAGGGAUGUGAGCCGGGUGAGGGGAACUGCGACCUUACUGUAGUUCUUAAUGAACCGUCGAUAAAAAUUAGCGAAGCCGAGGAAUCGCUGGAGGUCUUUGCGGGAGGAGGGGGUGGGCCAGUCACGGACAGCGCAGACUUUUUCUGGGUCUGGGCGUAGCUCCCCCUGGGCGAUGAUGUAACCAAGGAAACUGACGGAGGAGGCGUGGAACUCGCACUUUUCGGGCUUCACGAAAAGGCGGUUUUCGAGGAGGCGCUGAAGGAUGAGUCGGACGUGCUGCUGGUGUUCCCCCAGGUUUCGGGAGAAGAUCAGAAUAUCAUCUAAGUAGACGAAGGCGAACUUGUUAAUCAUGUCGCGGAGGACAUCAUUAAUGAGGGUCUGGAACACAGCUUACUGAAUACCAUUGCUAGGUCAUGGUAGACGGGGGGAACCGAGGUGAGAGAUGGCGGUGGAGAUGCUGACCUCUGUCGGUGGAUGUGAGGAUUGGCGGAGCGGAGGCAAUGGGAGUGACAGUGAGGGCUCCAGGCGGAGAUUGAAGAUGUGGACCAGUUAAUCUGAGGGUUGUGGAUUUGUAGCCAAGGGAGUCCCAGCACCAGGGGAGAGUGAGGAGAUGGAAGCAGGAACCGCCGGAUGUCCUCCCGAUGAUUUCCGGAGAGGAUGAGGGUGAGAGGAACUGUGCAGUGGGUGAUGGAGGCUAUAACUCUGCCAUCGAGAGCGGUGACCUUACGGGGAGCCGGGAGUUCCUCCAGGGGGAGCUGAAGCCGCACUGCCAGUCCAGCAUGAAUGAAGUUAUCAUCCGCCCCAGAGUCAAUAAGGGUUUGGAGGGAAGUGGACUCCUUUCCCCACAGGAGACAAGCAGGUACCAGGAUGCGUUUGGGAGAGCUGGCAACGGAGGAGGUAUGGCUCAUCAGUGUGCCCUCAGUCACGGAUGAGCCUGGCCGUUUAACUUGUUUGGGCAGUUGGUUAGAAAGUGACCGGCCUGGCCACAAUAGAUGCAUAGCCUCUUCUCUACCCUCCUUCUCCGUUCAUCCGGGUGAAGCUUAGUGUGGCCGAUCUGCAUGGGUUCACCUGCAGAUGGCGCCGGAUCCGGGAAGACUGAGGGCUGCAGAGGAGACCCGCUGACCGCAACAGAGGAAGGGGAGUCUAUUCUAGGGACUAAGGAAUGGUUUUUCUUCUCCCUCCGUCUCUCCCUGAGGCGAUUAUCAAUUCUAAUAGCUAGCGCUAUUAGCUCCUCCAGGGAGGAGGGCUCAUCACGAGUCGCUAGCUCGUCCUUCAAUUGUUCAGAGAGACCCCGAGUGAAUAUCCCCUUUAACUCGAGGUCCCCCCACCCACUCUCGGCCGCCACAGUACGGAACUCAAUGGAGUAUUCCGCCACUGACCGAGAGCUCUGGGUGAGGGAAAAUAGCCGUUUGGUACACUCGGGGCCCUCGACAGGAAAAUCAAAUAUUCUCCGGAGCUCUUCGGAAAAACGGGCGUAAGAAGUGAACAGAGGUGAGUCCCUAUCCCAGACGGCUGUAGCCCACUUAGCGGCCCUACCUCUUAACAGAUUGAUGUGUAAGCGACCUUAGCUCGAUCUGAGGGGUAGCUAAUGGGCUGUUGGUCAAAUACUAAGGCGCAACGGAGCAGGAAACCUCUGCAGCCCCC